AAGUGAAGUAUAUAUAGCCGAGUCGAGGAUCCCGGCCGACCCAACACGGAAAAGGCGUAUCGCAGGAACACUAACAGCGAGCGCAUCUUCUUUCGCUUGCUCGCUCGCUCCAAGCUUGCAGGUCAAUGGAACGAUGACAACAUCACGUAAAGCAAGCUCCUUUAACCUCUCAGUCCACCUACUGAGCUGAACCCCGGCAUGCCCACCAUCCAUAUCUCCACACAUGUGCUCAAGUUGAAGCCCAACCACCCUCCCCUGCGUCGAUGUAAGUCCUCCCUCCUUCCCUCUGUCUCUUCCCUCCGCUGCUAUUCCUCUUCAGCUGUCGCUGUCCCCUCCCACGAGCCCGUUUCGUCUCCUGAACCCCCGAUUCCCGAGCGCAUCUUCAAUUCGGCCAAAAAGUCGGGCACUUACACUUCGGGCGAUUCCACAUUCUACUCUCUCAUCGACAACUACGCCAGAUUGGGCGAUUUCGGCUCCUUGGAGAAGGUCCUCUAUCGGAUGAAGCGUGAAAGACGCGUGCUUGUCGAGAGGAGCUUCAUUUGCAUCUUCAAGGCUUACGGCAGGGCUAGCUUGCCCGAGAAGGCCAUCCAUUUGUUCGACCGGAUGGUUGAUGAGUUCCAGUGUAAGCGGACUGUCAAGUCGUUCAAUUCGGUCCUGAACAUUAUUAUCCAAAGUGGUCUUUAUAAUCGCGGAUUUGAGUUCUUUUCUUAUGUCGUUAGUUCUAGCCAGAUGAAUAUUUCACCGAAUGUGCUUAGUUAUAAUCUAGUCGUAAAAGCUGCGUGUAAGAUUGGAAUGGUUGAUAGAGCAGUCGAACUGUUUAGGGAAAUGCCUUUGAGAAGUUGUGUACCCGAUGUGUUCACGUAUUGCACUUUGAUGGAUGGGUUGUGCAAGGAGGGUAGAAUUGAGGAGGCGGUUUCCUUGCUGGAUGAGAUGCAAAUGGAGGGUUGCUUUCCAAGUGCCGUGACAUACAAUAUUUUAAUCAAUGGGUUGUGCAAGAAAGGUGACUUGAGACGCGCAGCCAAGCUUGUCGACAAUAUGCUCCUUAAAGGAUGUGCUCCAAACGAGGUGACUUACAACACACUUAUUCACGGUUUGUGUCUCAGGGGAAAGUUAGAUAAGGCUGUAGACCUUUUGAAUCGGAUGGUUGCUAGUAAGUUUGUGCCCAAUGAUGUCACUUACGGAACAAUCAUCAAUGGAUUGGUGAGGAUGGGACGAGCCGUCGAUGGGCUUCAAGUAUUGAAAUUCAUGGUGGAAAGGGGAUCCCAUGCAAAUCAGUACGUGUACUCCACCCUCCUCAGCGGGUUGUUCAAGGAGGGAAAGUUUCAAGAAGCGAGGAGAUUGUGGCAGGACAUAUUAUGCGAACCCAAUACUGUAAUGUAUAGCGCUUUUAUCGAUGGUUUGUGUCAAGAAGGGAAGCCGGAAGAAGCCAAGGAAGUUCUCUUGGAAAUGAUAAAUAAGGGGAUUGCCCCCAAUGCUUUCACUUAUAGCUCAUUGCUUAGGGGUUUUUUUAGGACAGAAAAAUCAGAGAAAGCUAUUCUUAUGUGGGAAGAGAUGGAAAAUAACAAUGACUUCACCAAUGCUGUCUGUUAUAGCGUUCUUAUACAUGGAUUGUGUGAGGAUGGAAAGCUGGAGAAGGCUAUGAUGGUAUGGAAGAACAUGCUUGCUAGAGGAUUCAAACCUGAUGUUGUGUCUUACACUUCACUUAUUAAAGGCCUUUGUGAUAAUGGAGAGCUCGAAGAAGGUCUGAAACUAUUUAAUGAGAUGCUCUGUCAGGGGCCCAGUUGUCAACCUGAUGUCGUCACUUAUAACAUACUUUUCAAUGCAUUAUGCAAGCAGGGUAACAUCUCCCAUGCCCUAAAUCUUCUGAACAAUAUGCUGCAUCAAGGAUGUGAUCCCGACUUGUGCACAUGUAACAUUUUCCUAAAAGCUUUAAGCGAAAAGUUAAAUCCACCUCAAGAUGGAAGGGAAUUCCUAGACGAGCUAGUGCUACGUCUAUUCAAACGGCAGAGAGUUGUGGGAGCAUCCAGAAUUCUAGAAGUGAUGCUGCAAAAAUAUUUGCCUCCAAAAGCAUUUACUUGGGAAAAGGCUGUUCAGCAGCUUUGCAAACCUAAUAAGGUUCGAGUUGCAAUUGACAGGUGCUGGAACGAACUAGUUUGCUGACUUUUUCCUGGUGAGUUUCAGCAGAAGUGGAGGAGAAUAUGCCUACAAGGCAGUCUCAAGAUCCUGGUACCUAAAGUUGAAGAGUGCAUGGAUGCGUUGGGAAAGUUGUUAGUGCAAACUUAGUUUAAAGACCUUGGCACGGAAACCAAUGGAGAUGAUAGAGGAAGUCCGGGGAAACACAUACUCAAAGUUGUGGAGGGAAGUAGUUGGGCAAGUUUUGUCCGUUACAGGUUAUAUUAUACAUUUUGUCUCUGGAUGAUCCUAAAUAAAUAGUCAUUGGGAUAUUGACCAAUGUGAAGAUGUGGCCAUUUCAGAAAAUUCCAAGUGCUGUUGAGCAUCAAUUGGUGGGCUGGAAAGAGUUAAGAGAUGGUUCUUUUAGGAUUGAAUAGCUAGUCAUUUCCCACAAACAUCACGCAAGAUUGUGGUUUGGAAGAAAGGCUCUAAGGUCAGGUACUAUGUUCUAAACCGCUUUCUUGGUUAUUUUAUAAACCUCUUCAUUGGUUUGUACUGGUAGGUGAUGCUGAUUUUAUGUCUUGUUACUGCUCUAACCAUGCAAAGGGCAUCCUUAACCUCAGGGCAUGCAAACUAAAAGAGGAGUUAAAUAGCUAAGAUCUUUAUUUGUCCGGGAUUUACAUCAUGUCUGCCAGGUUAGAUUGUAAUCGAAAAGAACUCAACAUCAGGAACUUGUUACUCCUCUAAGCCAUUGUUCCGGUAUUUUAUGAGGUAUGUUGUUUACAGCGCAAUCACCCUACUUGCUAAUGUUGGGAUGACGGAGCAUCAACACGCCCUGGAAGAUGAUGAACAAGGUUGGAUGCAAUGCGAUAAGGAGCUAUAAGAUGCACAGAAAACGUUGUUGUUGUUUUUGUAUCGUUGUGACCGGUUAUUUAUUCUUGCCAAAAUGUCCAUCUGUUUCUUGAUGAAGGUAUUUCAUUCUUAUUGCUUACAGCAAGUAAUUGUACCUCACCGAUCAGUGCAUAGGAAACCUUUCUCAGUUAGUUCUGUCUUUCACAAUUAUGUACAUAGGACAGUUCUCUUUUUCACUGAUUUGGGUGAACGAUUCAUUCAAGUAGUGUAAGAUCUAAACUUGCGCAAAGAAGAACUGCAAUGUUAAUCUUUGUGGUGGGAAUGGAGGAAAGACCCUGGAAAAUGAUACAAAAA